rnacentral:tRNA from 1 species
GCAGUGGUGUUCCAGUGGUAGAAUCCUUGCCUUCCACGUGGGAGACCUGGGUUCGAUUCCCAGCCAACGGA